AGCUCAAAUUUAAAAUCUGGCAGUGUUUCACUGUCCGAGUUGUAACCUAGAGAAGUGUAACCUGCGCUGGACCGUGUAUAAGUCUCCUGGAAUGGAGCAUCACAGAGGGUGAGAAUCCCGUCUUUGACAUGGACCACCAGUGCAUUGUGGUUGUGCUCUCAACGAGUCGAGUUGUUUGGGAAUGCAGCUCUAAAUGGGUGGUAAAUUCCAUCUAAAGCUAAAUAUUGGCGAGAGACCGAUAGCGAACAAGUACCGUGAGGGAAAGAUGAAAAGAACUUUGGAAAGAGAGUUAAACAGUAUGUGAAAUUGUUGAAAGGGAAACGUUUGAAGUCAGUCGCGUUGGUUGGGGAUCAGCCUGACAUUGUUGGGUUUACUUCCUGGUCGACGGGCCAACAUCAGUUUUGACUGCCAGAAAAAGGCCAAAGGAAUGUGGCACCCUUUGGGUGUGUUAUAGCCAUUGGUCGUAUAUGGUGGUUGGGACUGAGGAAAGCAGCGUGCCGAAAGGCCGGGUUUCGACCACGUUCACGCUGA
rnacentral:rRNA from 1 species